rnacentral:lncRNA from 1 species
GAGCGGUCAACAGAACUUUAUUCACUAGAAACUGGGCCACACAGACCCAGCAGGGAGCUGCAUGCCCCUAGGCUGGCCCCUUCUGUAUUUGGACCCUAGUCAAAUGUGCACGGUCUGCCCUCCCCAGUGCCAGGGAGAGACAAACAGAAGGGGAAUGCCAAUGUUCAAUGGGGAGUGAAAAGGGUAGGAGUAGAAAUCUGGUUAUCCCUCCUGAGGCUCCCAGUGGAGCUGGGGUGCCAGAGGGUAUGUGGUCCCAAAGCCAGGUGCAGACACCCACCCUCCAAGGGGUAAACUCUUGAUCCUAGCUCUUGGAUCAGGUUGGGAGGGAGCCUCGUAAGAUCAAGACAGGCAGAAGUGGUAGCUCUAAGGGCACCUGAGAGAUACUAUCCCCAAGGCUUACCAGGGCACGGGCGCUCUGGCUGAAAGCAAAGGUUCAAGAUCAUUCCAAGGCCCCUGAGUUGCCCAAACACCCAAAUGACAGUGCUUUGUUGUGGCUGAAGCUGGGGAGGAAAUGGGGAGGGGCCAGGGAGAGGACCUGCAAAUCCCCAACAGAAAAACCAGAAGCACAGGGGGGGAGCCCCAGAGGCUGGCAUCUGGAUGGGCCCUGGCAACCUGGAGGGGAGUCCACGGCAGUCUCGGGGCCUUGCAUAGUGUGACACACUCACCACCUCCGGCGCCACAGGGACCCACUGGGUAAGGAAGAGCUGUUACCCUGCCCCACCCGGCUCAUAAGUCUUCCAGAGUAUCCUAUCUCAAUGUCCUGGAUGUAUGGCUUAGAGGCUUGGCAUGACAGCCAUGGGGGCAGGAGGGAAUUCAGGCCGGAAACCGAGAGGUCGGGUGUUAAAGCUGUCCUAGCACAGGUGGCUUCAUGAAGCACAGACGGGUGGGCAGACAGGGAAGGAGUCUUCAGAGGUAGACAUUGAGGGUCUGCAGAAUGCCCCGGCG